AUUGAACGCUGGCGGCAGGCUUAACACAUGCAAGUCGAGCGAGCGGCGGAGGGGUGAGUAAUGUCUGGGAAACUGUCUGAUGGAGGGGGAUAAAUACUGGAAACGGUAGCUAUUACCGCAUACCAUCAGAUGUGCCCAGAGGGGAUUAGCGAGUAUGGGGGGGAAUGGCUCUCCGAGGCGACGCUCCCUAGCUGGUCUGAGAGGAUGACCAGCCAAACUGGAACUGAGACACGGUCCAGACUCCUACGGGAGGCAGCAGUGGGGAAUAUUGCACAAUGGGCGAAAUCCUGAUGCAGCCAUGCCGCGUGUGUGAAGAAGGCCUUCGGGUUGUAAAGCACUUUCAGCGAGGAGGCGUUACUCGCAGAAGAAGCACCGGCUAACUCCGUGCCAGCAGCCGCGGUAAUAC
rnacentral:rRNA from 1 species